rnacentral:sRNA from 4 species
GUCUGCACUUGUCGGGGAAGGGUGAGAACCUUCGAUUAAGGUUCGACUCGAGCGAAAGCGAGAGAACGUUGCCAACGGCAACAGCCCGUAGGGUGAGGAGCGAAGCGACGAAUAAUCCUUCCCCCACCACCA